CUGAAGGCACUCCACGUCCGCCUAUUGAUCAAGAGUUGUGGGAGAGGGCGUCUGUUGUGAAGAAGAACUACAUUAAAGGUCAAGGACAACGACGACGCCCAUCCUUCAGUGGCUCAGGCUUCUCUUCUACCCAGUCUACACAGUCAUCGAGCCAUCCAACAUGAUCUUCUGAAGAUACUCGGCGGGCAUCUGGGGGCUCUGAGUCCUGAGGAGUUAGCUGAAGCAGUUGCGGCAGCAGCAGCAUCACAACAUGGGGAUGACGACGAGGUAUAAAAUCAAUUUGUUGUAUAUAUUGUCGUAAUAUACCAAUAUUAACAUAGUUAGUAUAUAUUUGUAACUUGUUUUAUUAUUUUGUUAAUUACAGGGUGAUCAAGAAGGCGAUGAUGCUUGAUGUACCUGCUUUAGAUCAGUUUUGUAGUUAUAGUAUAAGCUUGUACUUGUAUAUUCAUUCUUUGGAUGUCUGUAUGUUACUUAAACAAGUUUUGAAAUGUUAUUAUAUUUAUUCAAAUCAUAUUGGGUUUUAAAGGUUUAUAUACUAGUUUGGUGUAUGUGUUGGUGG
rnacentral:lncRNA from 1 species